rnacentral:rRNA from 1 species
CAGUAGCCACGGUAAUACGAAGGGUGCGAGCGUUACUCGGAAUUACUGGGCGUAAAGCGUGCGUAGGUGGUGGUUUAAGUCCGUUGUGAAAGCCCUGGGCUCAACCUGGGAAUUGCAGUGGAUACUGUUUGGCUUGAGUUCGGGAGAGGUGAGUGGAAUUCCCAGUGUAGAGGUGAAAUUCGUAGAUAUUGGGAAGAACACCAGUGGCGAAGGCGGCUCACUGGACCGACACUGACGCUGAGGCGCGAAAGCGUGGGGAGCAAACAGGAUUAGAUACCCCUGUAGUCCCUGUCUCUUAUAC